GCAUUUGGUACAAAGAAAACAAUGCCCUUCACGACAUCUGGUACAGCUGACUGACAGGACCAGAAGGAUAGCAAUAUGAUCAUGAAACCCAUGCAAAAUCCAACUUAUUAUGAGUAUCUCACUAUUAGAAAUGUCUUAUUCUUGGAACUCUCACGAGGAAGUUGCUCAACAUUGACAGUGAGCUGUGAACUGAUCAGAACAUCAUUAUUGUACCACUAAUGAAAGCAUUCAUUGCUGAAUGUGAAGUAUAAUAGCUGUGAACAAUUAAUGCAAUAGACCUGUUUACUCUUGAAUAAUUUGUGCUGAAAAGUUUUCAAAUUCUUUUCAUGGAACAAGAUGAACUUUUAAAAGAAUAUUGUGGUAAUAUGAAAAGGAGCUGAAUUCGGAGGACCAUGGAAUCUUGAGCAAUGAAAGAAGAUGUACGAUUUCAAUUCUUCCACGUUGACAUAAAAUUCACAAUUAAGAAGUGAGACGAUAUUGAAUAUUAAAGAGGAUUUGUAAUAAGAAUCAUCUUAGUUCGAAAUUUACUUAAAAGAACGACACUUUACCUUUUUUGCUCAUGAGUUUAUGUCUUUUCUUUACAGUACCCAGAUG